UACGAAGGGGGGCUAGCGUUGCUCGGAAUCACUGGGCGUAAAGCGCACGUAGGCGGCUUUCUAAGUCAGGGGUGAAAUCCUGGAGCUCAACUCCAGAACUGCCUUUGAUACUGAGGAGCUUGAGUCCGGGAGAGGUGAGUGGAACUGCGAGUGUAGAGGUGAAAUUCGUAGAUAUUCGCAAGAACACCAGUGGCGAAGGCGGCUCACUGGCCCGGUACUGACGCUGAGGUGCG
rnacentral:rRNA from 1 species